rnacentral:rRNA from 1 species
CCUACGGGUGGCAGCAGUGAGGAAUAUUGGUCAAUGGCCGGAAGCCUGAACCAGCCAAGCCGCGUGAAGGACGAAGGUGCCAAGCAUUGUAAACUUCUUUUGUCAAGGGACAAAAUCAGGCUCGAGAGCCUGACCGAGGGUACUUGAAGAAAAAGCAUCGGCUAACUCCGUGCCAGCCGCCGCGGUAAUACGGAGGAUGCGUGCGUUAUCCGGAUUUAUUGGGUUUAAAGGGUGGGGAGGGUGGCUGUUAAGUCAGCGGUAAAAGCCCGGGGCUCAACCCCGGCGAGCCGUUGAAACUGGCUGUCUUGAGAUGUCGAGAGGUAUGCGGAAUGCGCGGUGUAGCGGUGAAAUGCUUAGAUAUUGCGCAGAACUCCGAUUGCGAAGGCAGCAUACCGGAGGCGAUCUGACGCUGAGGCACGAAAGCGUGGGUAUCGAACAGGAUUAGAUACCCGUGUAGUC